rnacentral:sRNA from 1 species
CCCAUCUUGAUGAUAAUGGACUCAACCUCUGAACCUAGUCACGGUAGGAGCCCUCAGCUCCCUGCUCCUGGAGCUAUGCCACAACAUCAUGGACUCUAAACCCUCUGAAACGGUCAGUACCUCUCCCAUCAGAGGGGACACACCAGGGAAUCAGGAACUGGAAGCAGCUGGUUACAAUGUAUCCAUAAUCAGAAGGCAGAAAGUAAGGAACACCCGCUGCUGUUCAUCUCUUCCUUUGUACCACCCAAACUCAGAGUCAGGGAGCUUGAUACUUAUUCUCGCCCGAGACCCUAGUCCCAGGUUCUAGAUUCUGACGGUUAACACUAACCACCACAGGGUCUCUCAUCUGUAUCUCAGACUGGCUUCGAACUUGAUCCUCCUGCUUCCUCAGCCUCCCAAGUGCUAAGAUUCCAGACCUGUACCGCCACGGCCAGCUUCACACUUUAUCAUAAAACCUGGCGUUGUGUUAGAUGAUGUCACCCGCUGUCGGCUGACGUCAAUGUUCUGAGCACACUCAAGGUCAGCUGGGCUAAGCUACAAUGUCAGUGUCCUUGGGGGAUUAAAUGCGGUUUUUUGACUUAACGAUGUUUUCAUCUUGUGAUCGACUUACUGGGACUGUGGCUCUAGAGCUAAGUCAAGGAACGGUGGACACGUCCUGCCAACGAAGAAGGAGCCUUGUAUCACCUCCAGGGCUCAUCUGGAUAAACCAAGGCUCAAAGAGAGAAGUGAUUCUAUUCUAUGUGUGUGCUGAUGACUGGGACACCGGACUCCCCCACUUUCGAGUGGCCUCUGUGAUCCUAGUAGGGAAACUGAGGCAGAGUGGCGAGUUCAGAGCCAGCCUGAGCAGCAGAACAGACUCAGAUCUCCAGUCUUUCAUGGUUUCUCACAGCCCCUCCAGCUGGCAGGGAGGCCACCAUCUUGAUCUGUUCCCCAACCUGUCAUGAAGUGCUACGUACGCACCACGAAUGGCUGGCUGCAUCUUUGCAGUGAACAAGGAAAUGUGAUUUGCAACCAGAACUUGAGAAGUCAAGCUGCCGCCACUCUGCACGGGCCUGGAUAGGGAGGCCCCCUUCAGGUGGGGCCCUAUACAGUCUCCAGUAGACCUUACGUGCUCUGACUGGGUGGGCCCCUCACAAGCACCAUGUCUUCUGGGCAUGUGUCACAAUUCUGUUCAUACACAGGAAGGCAGAAUGAUGGCAGAAAUCUCCUUCACAACAGCUCUACAUACAACAGGUGAAUUUUACCUAUAGACUCUUGGUUUAACCCCUUUGGGGUCUCCAUGGCUCCUGCUUUUUGUGCAAAUGCUCCCCCAAGAGCCUCCUGACUUCUCACUGGAUGGUACGGAUCCUCUCCACCCUACCUAUUCAGUGGCCUCUAGGCCCUUCUGUCUUGAAGGCGGAGAGUUGCAAACUGGAUCAGGCUUCCCUGGGGCUGGAACUGGACGCUGGAUGGAGACGCUGACUCCUCAUGGACUCAAAAAAGGGAGAUUCUGCGUACAUGCCCCUUUAACAGAUAAGGAAGCAGGGCUUGGGGGACUUAGCCCAAGGGCACGCGCUUAUACCCUAGCCCCUCUAGCUUCCUUUGAGCUCCUGGAUGGUGUCUUUCCUGCUCUGAGAGCUUUGCCUAUGUCAUAGUGGGUGGGUAGAAAACCUUACCGCCUCCUCUGAGCCAGCUUUAAUCAUCCUCCAGGUCUGACCGAACUUUCCAGGUCUCCCCUGCACCGAAGCAUUCAAUGGCAUGACACCCGGAGAGACCCUCCAUGAGCCAGCUCUCCUCAGUCACACAUGUCCUAAGCCUUGUGGAGUGGCCCUGAUGCCCACCCUCACUUUACAGACGAGGCUCUGAGACAGAGACAUCAACAGCACUUGCCCCAUGACACAGAGCUAAUGGUCAAAUGUUUACCUUGGGUCCUGUGAGUGUGUGAUC